rnacentral:rRNA from 1 species
UAGCGUUGUUCGGAAUUACUGGGCGUAAAGCGCACGUAGGCGGAUUUGUAAGUCAGGGGUGAAAUCCCGAGGCUCAACCUCGGAACUGCCUUUGAUACUGCAAAUCUCGAGUCCGGAAGAGGUGAGUGGAAUUCCUAGUGUAGAGGUGAAAUUCGUAGAUAUUAGGAAGAACACCAGUGGCGAAGGCGGCUCACUGGUCCGGUACUGACGCUGAGGUGCGAAAGCGUGGGGAGCAAACAGG